AUGGCGACGUCGGGGCGACUGAGGGGCCCCGUCAGCGUGCUGGGCCUGAGAGCGCCGUCGGCCCGAGGACGUAACCGCGGAGGGCGGGUGGGUGAAGGGGCCGCUUCUUGGCAGCGUCCUGUGCAGCUACGAUUAUUUUCAACACAAAAAAAUUUCAAAACAAACCAAAAUCCUCGUGGGGGUCUCUGCGUCCAGGCGCCCAGUUGCAGGUUGAUUUCACGUCUGGAUCAUUCUCCCAACCCUGCGGAUGCCUGCACAGUGCUCACACGCGUGUGGAGCCCAGCCUGCUCUGUGACUCACGCACACACACAUUCACCUCACACACACCCACACACCCACACACCAGACACCACAUACACACAUUCAUCUUACACACCACACACACCUACACACCACAUACNNNNNNNNNNUCGUGGGGGUCUCUGCGUCCAGGCGCCCAGUUGCAGGUUGAUUUCACGUCUGGAUCAUUCUCCCAACCCUGCGGAUGCCUGCACAGUGCUCACACGCGUGUGGAGCCCAGCCUGCUCUGUGACUCACGCACACACACAUUCACCGCACACACACCCACACACCCACACACCAGACACACACAUUCACCUCACACACACACCGCACACAGCACCAUACACCACAUACACACAUUCACCUUACACACCACACACACCAACACACCACAUACACACACGUUUACCUCACACAUACACCACACACAGCACCAUACACCACAGGCACCACACUCACCUCACACACACCACACACACCAAUACACCACAUACACAUGUUUAUCUCACACACACACCACACACCACACAUACAUUCACCUUACACACACCAAACACACCAACACACCACAGACACACAUUCACCUCAUACAUACCACACGCACCCACACCACAUACACAUUUACCUCACACACGCACCAUACAUAGCACCAUACAUCACAGACACACACGUUUACCUCACACACCUCACACACACACCACACAUCACAGACACACACAUUCACCUCACACACACCUCACACACACCUCACACACACCUCACACACAACCUACAACACACCCAACAUACGUGCUACAUCAUACCAUACGUACCACACACACACUACAUACACCAUGCCACACACACACACACACACACACACUACACAUAGCGCACACAGCACGCUCCAAGGUCUCUGUGUGCACACAGAGCUCCCUGGAGGCUGGAGGAGAGUCCCAGGACCUGGUUUACGGACACAGCCCCGUAAGCCAUGUUGGAGCCCUUCCGCGGUGCUGCGGGCCAUGCCUCUGCCCCCGUCCUCUCCGUCCUCUUCCUCCCCCGCCCUCUCCUUCCAAACCAACCAACCAACAAAAAUCAAAACGAAAACAAGUGAAUUCUCCCUUCCUAAGCAGAGCAGGCCGGCUCCAGCGUGGUUGGGGUCUCCCUUCCCCGCCACCGGAAGCUUGGGGGGAGCUCCCCAGUCAGCUCGGCUCCACCCUCAGGAGAAGAACGAGAGGAGCCGCUCCUAAGAGUCGUCACCCUGCGGGUCAGAGGCCCGCGCCUGGCCUCCAGGGCCAGGAUCCCCGGUUUUCCUGCCAGCCCCCCACAUCCAGAGCCCCGAGUCUGCUUUUCAAACUGCGGCCUCCCUCCCUCCCUCCCUCCUCCCCCCCACCCCCACAGAUCCCAAGCGCAGGCCUGAGGACCCCAGCGUGGAGGGGGCCGGGCGCGCCCCGGGGCAGCACGAGGCCGGCACCCACAGGCACGGAGGACAAGGCCGCGCCUCCUGCGUCCUGGGUCACCCUCGACGUAGAACUUCCUUCCAAAUGA
rnacentral:lncRNA from 12 species